CAAAACGGAAUAGCGCCAGAUCUGUCUUAACAGAUGACGAGGAUGAAGCUUAUCGAAAUAUUCGGCGGAUGGCUUCAGGGACUGCACCCUAUAGGUAAAUUACAAAUCCACUUGCGAAAGUGCUACAAAAGAUUUACCAGCAGAUAGA
rfam:Enterococcus aquimarinus strain DSM 17690 Scaffold13, whole genome shotgun sequence.